rnacentral:lncRNA from 1 species
AAUAUUUAAGAUUAAAAUUUUAAAAUUUUAAGUCUCACUAGUAUGACCCAUUCAUGUCUCCUAAAGUUAUUGUCCUAAUCAUUGGGAUUCAUCAUAAUCUUAGACAUAAUAAGAUGCAGCUAGAAUGGUGAAUCAAUACCUCAUUUUAUUAUCAAAUAAUAAAUACCAUUACAUGAGUUAAAAAAUUACAAAGAAAAGUUCCAUCGCAACACACUUACAAUUGGCUUAUAGGGCAUUCUUCU